CCUACGGGAGGCAGCAGUGAGGAAUAUUGGUCAAUGGACGAGAGUCUGAACCAGCCAAGUAGCGUGAAGGAUGACUGCCCUAUGUGUUGUAAACUUCUUUUAUAAAGGAAUAAAACGAGUCACGUGUGCCUUUUUGCAUGUACUUUAUGAAUAAGGCUCGGCUAACUCCGUGCCAGCAGCCGCGGUAAUACGGAGGAUCCGAGCGUUCUCCGGAUUUCUUGGGUUUAAAGGGCGCGUAGAUGGGUUGUUAAGUCAGUUGUGAAAGUUUGCGGCUCAACCGUAAAAUUGCAAUUGAUACUGGCAGUCUUGAGUACAGUUGAGGUAGGCGGAAUUCGUGGUGUAGCGGUGAAAUGCUUAGAUAUCACGAAGAACCCCGAUUGCGAAGGCAGCUUACUAAACUGUGACUGACAUUGAUGCUCGAAAGUGUGGGUAUCAAACAGGAUUAGAUACCCUAGUAGUC
rnacentral:rRNA from 1 species